UUUCCGAGACAACCACAAUGAGAAAGCAGCUUUUUGCUUUACUUCUCUUUUCAACGUCUCUGAGCGCGUUGGAAGGUAAUCUCAGGACCAUCAGAAGGGGACUCGCUGGUCUCAAGCUCCUGAUCUUCGUGUUGCUCGAGGCCUGACUCACCGAGCAGCAUCGGAGGAAGAGCCCCCGCGGGGUACUGCAAACGUCUGGGCAUGGGAGGAUCGUAUGACCAGUUUUCACGACAUCACGGCACACUACCAAUUACAAAGACGCAUAUACCCAUUCGCUCACGCUAGGUCAGACAGGACGCAAGCAGAACACUUCAGACAAUUACAAAGAGACUCUUACAGAAACCCCAGACUCAUGCACGUCAAGUAUCCAGACAUGUACACUACAAACAGAUGCACAUCGUGUGGCAAGGUUGCCACACUAAAUCACAUGUUAUGGGAGUGUCGGGAGCUAACAAACAAGUCGGGCAGUGCCGACCCCUCUGUCUCUUCCACCGCCAGCCUCCGGUCACGCUGGAUGACCGCACUGCUCAGCUCUGAACUGACAGCACAACUCUGGGCCGUCCAGCGAGCCGAGGAAGCCGCUUCGAGACAAGGUCUCGGAACCGUGUCCGCGGCGGGUGCCCGGACCCACUAAAAAGACGCCGGACUCAAAUCUUGUUGAUUUGAAAUAAAAGUUUACGCUCUCUCUCGUGUUCUCUCCCCUGCUCCCACAAGCCAGCGGAUAUUUUUACUUUGUGAAAGAGCUUUCCGCCGCACUGAGGUGCUGUGGCGACUUGGAAUCCGAAGACGUGGAGUAUGCUUUGAUUUCGGAGGAGUAAGGGAACAUAAGGCUGGGCCUGACAUCCAAGACGUUUUGCAAACAAGUUUAUAUUUACAUAUCUACGAGAAAAUCCAGAGUACAGAAGAAGUUCAUGAAGAAGUUGUAGCAGCCGAUCUCUCCAGGCGUCCGUCGCUGUUCUUAUCCCGAGCGUCGUCAUUGUUCAGUCACCUCCCCCAAUCCGGCAUCAGGAUACCGAUGACGUCGGAUCUCACCACUUCGGAGGAUUGUUGCCCUUUCUCUCCGAAGAGGGCUUUCUUGGAAACACGCUCAUCACUGGGCACAAGCAGGGGAUGGGGGAUCGCGCAUUGACUCCGUCUCCAGCGUGGACAUGUCAAAUGGGGCGGUGGACAGGUGAUGGGCCUUAUCCUUGCACUGAUGGCGUCUCCGCCGUGGACGUGCCAAUUUGGGCGGCUGACAGGUGAAGGACCGUAUUUUUGCUAAUCGCCUAAACUUCUCCUGACCGAGGUACUCCAGUGGUGGCCAUACAACAUUCCAUUUGAGAACGACGUUGACGAGGCAAUCGGCCUGCUUACCAUAAUUUAGUUAGCCGUGACCGCAGCUUUCGAGCGGUGAGCGGCCGAUCACUACGCUCCUGAGAUAAGGCAUAACCGGUUAGACUAAAGCGAUGGUCCUGCGACCGAAUCAAUGUAUUUCAAUGCAGUUCAAACCGAAUCAAUCCAGUUUUUCCUUACUCUUGUGUUAUAGUUUCCAGUACAUAAUCCGCCUGCCAGCCAAAUAAACGUUUCCGUAAAAGUAAGAUGCCGUGUGAGUCAUUUUUAUGUGCCUACCUUUGUCUUCGCCUGAUUGCGCGCUUUUUCUCCCUCACGAUGUCCUAGUUAAGAAGCCCAACUGGAAACGUUAUUCAAGUUCUCUUUACUGCAGCUGUAGCUUUAUAUUUUUAUGUGAAAAGAAUUAUCAAUGUGUGUAAGCAUCAAUGCACAACUGAAUAUUGAAAGGGGGAGCGCGCAAAAGCUGAGCACGAAAAACGAGGCAUUAUUAUAAGUAAUAUUUCUUCUGCGCUUCCCCCCUCAGUAUUCAAUACUAACGCUACGCAACUUGCUUAAGUAUUGACUUUACAGAACAUGUCAUUUUGACGGGUCUCACUGGGACUACUCUGCGUACAAGUCUUGCUUCAUCUUCUCUCCGGCAGCCAGGAAAGAAAACAGGACUUCAUAAUUUUAUGCUACGCACAUUGGAACACGUCAUCGCAAUCAAACAAAACGACGUAAUGAAGAAAGCAUCGCAAAA